UCUCCUCCUCUCUGGUCAGCCUCUCUUAUCUCCACUCCGCCUCUCUCUUCUCUGGUCCGCCCAUCUGUCAUCUUAGUCCAGCCUUCCUCACUCAUGUCUGUCUUAUCACGCCGGGUGUGUCCGCCAUUCUCAUUUGUGUUACCGCCCCAGGUGAACUUGUGCUCUGGUCCGUGUUUCACUUCAUGUUCCAGUCCGUGUUUCACAGUGUGCUCACUUCCCCUUGAGCUUCAGGUACUUGCCCUCAUGUUUGCCUUACCGCCCCAGGUAGGUUCUUAGGUGGGAUUCGAACCCAUGUAUUGACCGUCACCUUGUCCGCAACCAACGGUGUUUUAGCCACUAGUGCCAUCGUAGCUUACACGCUGAGAGAUGGAGUUUGGUGCAUGUUAUUGGGUUUUUUUUAAUGACAGCAAUAAGCAAUAGUGGGAUUCAAACCCAAGACUCCAAGAGUAAAGGCUAAUGCUUUAACAACUGAGCCACUGAGUCAGUCCAGAGUGCUGGGGUUUUCAGGUGGAAUAUAAAGAGUGUUUCCUGACAAAUUCAGAUAAAGAUGUGAUGACUGGGAUUUGAACCCACAUCUUUACUGCAUCAGAAUCGACAGUCUAUGUUGUUAACCACUACACCACUGUGGCUUGUGAUGUGUGUUGUGUUUUGUAUGCUAUGUAUUGAUAUUUAUUCUAGUACUGGUGAAAAUGUUCAGUCUUUUUGGCAUAAGCAGGGUUUGAACACAGAACUCCCGCAUUAAUACACAGCGUUUAAUCAUUUGAGCCACUGAGCCAGACAAGUAGAGCAGUGUUUUUGACAGGGUCAUAUUGACAUCUUUUGCACUUUAUCGCUAAAAAUACAUUUUGCACUGAUUUUAGCAUAAGCAGGAUUCAAACCCUAAACUCUGAAGUUAAAAUGCAGUGAAUUAAUCUACUGAGCCAUUGAGCUUGAUGAGGAAAGAGGUGUUUUUGACAGGGUGACAUUGAGAUCUUUUGCACUUCAUCACUAAAAAAAAAAACUUUGCAUUGUGGCAUAAGCAGGAUUUGAACCCACGAAUCCCAAAGUUAAAACAUGGCGUUUAAAUCCAUUGAGCUAUUGAGUCAGAUGAGCAGAAGAGGGUUUUUGACAGGGUGACAUUGAGAUCUUUUGCAGUUUAUCGUUUAAAAACAUUUUGCAUUGAUUUUGGUUUAAGCAGGAAUCAAACCCACAACCUGUAAGUUAAAACACAGUGUCUUAGGUAAUUGAGCCACUGUGCUGGAUGAGCUGCUCGAUGAGUUUUUGUGACAGGGUGACAUUGAGAUCUUUGUACUUUAUUGGUAAAAAUUAUUUUGCACCGAUUUCAGCAUAAGCGAGAUUCAAACUCAUAACAUCAAACUUAAAACAUACUGUUUAAAUCAACUGAGCCACUGAUCCAGACGAGCUGAAGAAAGUAUUUGACAGGGUGACAUUGAGAUCUUUUGCUGUUUAUUGUAAAAAAAAUCAUUUUUCACUGAUUUUAGCAGAAGCAGGAUUCAAACCCACAACCUCAGAGUUAAACUGUAAAGUUUUACCUGCUGAGCCACAGAGUCUGAGAACAUACAUCAUGUUUUAAUUCAGUAAAUUGAUAUAAAGCACUCAAUUUAGACAUUAAGAUCAGCAACAGCGGGAUUUGAACCCAGGUCUCUCAGAUUAAUGCACAGCGGAUUAGUCAAUUAAGCUACUGAAACCAAAAAGUAUUCGUGUGCUUUGAAGUAUUUGUGUGUUGUGAUGAUUCUGUCCAAAAAUAUGAUAAAAAUUGUGCAAUAAAAGACAAUCUACAGCUAUUAUGCUCUCCUCAGACUCUGUGGCUCAGCUUAUUAAAGUGUCGUGUUUUAAUCUUGGAGACCCGGGUUCAAAUCCCGCUCUUGAUGACCUUUAUUUGUAAUUGUGUGUUUCUAAUUAAAUCAACAGGAUUCUCAAAUUGAAAUCAGCGGUCAUUGGAUUUGACCUCAGGACUCAGAUUAAAACAGUUUGUUUGAUCAGCCGAGCCGCUGAGUCUGAGAAACUUUAUUUGUGUUUUGGAUGGGAUUUUGCUCAUUAAAUAUUUAAUAUUAUUUCAGUUUUUAAACAAUGCACUAGAAUUAACACAAGCUUUGUGUGGUUUCAAUUUAGUUAACGAGCAAAUUAACUAAUGAAGCACAUGAUUGUUUAGCAGUUUUACUGAGGGAUUUGUAUUUAAUCAAACAACUUUUCCACUCAAAUGAUUUAAAUCCAUGACUUUCCUCCUGUAAAUCAGUUUAAGGCCACUAGUGCCUUUAUGAAUUUAUCUUGGGUAAAUCAUCAUUUGAUUGUUUUAAUGUAAACAGUAGUGAAAUAUGAGCUCACAACACUUUAUCACCUGAGCUUGUGCUGUGAACAUGUGCUUUGGACAGUUGUGUUUAGAGGUUUUCUUCAUAUGAUAUAAAAUAUCAGCAGUGGGAUCAAUACUGUCACACAUAAACUUCUUAUUUUUAAUUAAAAAUGUCAGCAUUCAUGAAACAUAUUUCUGUUUAAAAUGUGCAAACAAUCACAAAAAUAGUCACCAAAAACUUGAUUCAUUUCAGCCUGUAAUUGAUUGAAAAUAAAUAACUUUUACAUCAAUUUUUAAUCUUAAUUUCUGCUGGAAUAAAAGAAAAGAGUUGAGUCAGGAGAUUUCUAUCAGUGCUGAUGAGCUUGAUUAGCAGCUUCAGAUGCACAAAUCCUCCACAAGUGGGCACAACAUUGACACAUUGAUCAGGCUUUCUUCAUUAAAUCUUUAUUAAAUGUGAUGUUUGUCUGUAGAUUGAUGUGUUGAUAUGAUGACCAGUCCUGAGCUUCACAUCCUCCUCAUCAGAGACACAGAGAAAGAUUCAGUCAAACCUGCUACUGGAAGAGAAAAAUCAGUCAAACAGUGCUGUAAUCUCAAAAAGAUGAACAAGUUAAACAUGUCUAAUAUAAGAGGAUACAGGGUCAGUAUGAAACAGGGUGUGUGUGUGUGUAUAGUUGGCAAAUAAAUGUACACAGAGGAAGAUUAA